GAUGAACGCUAGCGGCAGGCCUAAUACAUGCAAGUCGAACGGGAUCCAGAUCAAAGCUUGCUUUGGUUUGGUGAGAGUGGCGUACGGGUGCGUAACGCGUGAGCAACCUACCCUUGUCAGGGGGAUAGCCCGGCGAAAGUCGGAUUAAUACCGCAUGACAUCAUUGAGAGGCAUCUUUCGAUGAUCAAAGAUUUAUCGGACAAGGAUGGGCUCGCGUGACAUUAGCUAGUUGGUAAGGUAACGGCUUACCAAGGCUACGAUGUCUAGGGGCUCUGAGAGGAGAAUCCCCCAAACUGGUACUGAGACACGGACCAGACUCCUACGGGAGGCAGCAGUAAGGAAUAUUGGUCAAUGGACGGAAGUCUGAACCAGCCAUGCCGCGUGCAGGAAGACGGCACUAUGGGUUGUAAACUGCUUUUAUACGGGAACAAACGUCGGUACGUGUACCGGUCUGAGUGUACCGUAAGAAUAAGGAUCGGCUAACUCCGUG
rnacentral:rRNA from 1 species